rnacentral:rRNA from 1 species
AACGAACGCUGGCGGCGUGCUUAACACAUGCAAGUCGAGCGAGAAAGUUCCCGCAAGGGGAUGAGUACAGCGGCGAACGGGUGAGUAACACGUGGGCAACCUGCCCUUCAGUCAGGAAUAACCCCGCGAAAGCGGGGCUAAUACCAGAUAAAGUCCUCCGGGGGCAUCCCUGGGGAACCAAAGGGGGCGAGCGCAAGCGGCCCUCACUGAAGGAUGGGCCGGCGGCUGAUUAGCUAGUUGGUGGGGUAACGGCCUACCAAGGCGACGAUCAGUAGCCGACCUGAGAGGGUGACCGGCCACACUGGGACUGAGACACGGCCCAGACUCCUACGGGAGGCAGCAGUGGGGAAUAUUGCGCAAUGGGCGAAAGCCUGACGCAGCGACGCCGCGUGGGUGAUGAAGGCCUUCGGGUCGUAAAACCCUGUCGGGUGGAACGAAUCUCCGCCUUAUCAAUACCAAGGCGGAUUGACGGUACCACCGAAGGAAGCCCCGGCUAACUAC